UUUCCUUUCGUAUUCACCAUGUUGACCUGUGAUGGAAAAGGAUUCUUAUCAAUUUUCAUAUUCUUAUUUUCCUGGUCGGCAAAUAUGAGCCGACCCUCAUUUAUUUCUUUUUGAAUCUGCCUCUUAAAGGCAGUGCAUUCAUUUAUUUUAUGGCUCCAUGAGUGGUGCCAUUUGCAAUAUCGCCUACGUUUUAAUUCUUCUACAGGAGGUAUUGUUUGACCCUC
rnacentral:lncRNA from 1 species